rnacentral:rRNA from 1 species
CCUACGGGUGGCAGCAGUGAGGAAUAUUGGUCAAUGGCCGUAAGGCUGAACCAGCCAAGUAGCGUGAAGGAAGAAGGCCUUAGGGUUGUAAACUUAUGUUGUAAAGGAAGAAAAGAAUGACGGUACUUUACAAGAAAGCCCCGGCUAACUAUGUGCCAGCAGCCGCGGUAAGACAUAGGGGGCAAGCGUUGUUCGGAAUUACUGGGCGUAAAGGGAGCGUAGGCGGGAGAUUAAGUUAAGAGUGAAAGCCUUGGGCUCAACCCAAGAAAUGCUCUUAAUACUGGUUUUCUAGAGUGUGGGAGAGGUAAGUGGAAUUCCUAGUGUAGCGGUAGAAUGCGUAGAGAUUAGGAGGAACAUCAGAGGCGAAGGCGGCUUACUGGACCAUAACUGACGCUGAGGCUCGAAAGCGUGGGGAGCAAACAGGAUUAGAUACCCGUGUAGUC